rnacentral:rRNA from 1 species
GAUGAACGCUGGCGGCGUGCCUAAUACAUGCAAGUCGAGCGAACGGACGAGAAGCUUGCUUCUCUGAUGUUAGCGGCGGACGGGUGAGUAACACGUGGAUAACCUACCUAUAAGACUGGGAUAACUUCGGGAAACCGGAGCUAAUACCGGAUGAUAUUUUGAACCGCAUGGUUCAAAAGUGAAAGACGGUCUUGCUGUCACUUAUAGAUGGAUCCGCGCUGCAUUAGCUAGUUGGUAAGGUAACGGCUUACCAAGGCAACGAUUCGUAGCCGACCUGAGAGGGUGAUCGGCCACACUGGAACUGAGACACGGUCCAGACUCCUACGGGAGGCAGCAGUAGGGAAUCUUCCGCAAUGGGCGAAAGCCUGACGGAGCAACGCCGCGUGAGUGAUGAAGGUCUUCGGAUCGUAAAACUCUGUUAUUAGGGAAGAACAUAUGUGUAAGUAACUGUGCACAUCUUGACGGUACCUAAUCAGAAAGCCACGGCUAACUACGUG